rnacentral:rRNA from 1 species
GGACCAAGGAGUCUAGCAUGUGCGCGAGUCAUUGGGACUCUAACGAAACCUAAAGGCGCAAUGAAAGUGAAGGUCCGCCGAGCGCGGACCGAGGGAGGACGGUCGGUCCCGAGGGGUCGACCCGCACUCCCGGGGCGUCUCGCUCUCAAAGCGAGAAGAGGCGCACCCAGAGCGUACACGCUGGGACCCGAAAGAUGGUGAACUAUGCCUGGUCAGGACGAAGUCAGGGGAAACCCUGAUGGAGGUCCGUAGCGAUUCUGACGUGCAAAUCGAUCGUCGGAACUGGGUAUAGGGGCGAAAGACUAAUCGAACCAUCUAGUAGCUGGUUCCCUCCGAAGUUUCCCUCAGGAUAGCUGGCGCUCGUUUCUCACGAGUCUCAUUCGGUAAAGCGAAUGAUUAGAGGCAUUGGGGUCGAAACGGCCUCAACCUAUUCUCAAACUUUAAAUGGGUGAGAUCUCCGGCUUGCUUGAACGUUGAAGCCGCGAGAUAUCGGAUCAGAGUGCCAAGUGGGCCACUUUUGGUAAGCAGAACUGGCGCUGUGGGAUGAACCAAACGCCGAGUUAAAGCGCCUAAAUCGACGCUUAUGGGAUACCAUGAAAGGCGUUGGUAACUUAAGACAGCAGGACGGUGGCCAUGGAAGUCGGA